UACGUAGGUGGCAAGCGUUAUCCGGAUUUAUUGGGCGUAAAGCGAGCGCAGGCGGUUUUUUAAGUCUGAUGUGAAAGCCUUCGGCUUAACCGAAGAAGUGCAUCGGAAACUGGAAAGUUUGAGUGCAGAAGAGGGCAGUGGAACUCCAUGUGUAGCGGUGAAAUGCGUAGAUAUAUGGAAGAACACCAGUGGCGAAGGCGGCUGUCUGGUCUGUAACUGACGCUGAGGCUCGAAAGCGUGGGGAGCAAAC
rnacentral:rRNA from 1 species